rnacentral:misc_RNA from 1 species
CUAUCUAAACUCGCCUGCGUUUUUAACGAAACACUGGCGGAAAUUGAGCGUCACACUUUUUCUCGAAGUGUGUUGCUUGAAAGGUAGAAGCGGUAGUUCCCUUCUUUUUCUCUCGAGAAAAAACUCAUUGGUUCUUCUUGGGGCUUGCCCCAAGCUGAAGCAAACUGAGUGACGUGGUUAAGUUCGCCUCGUGCGACACCGCUACGUCAACCAUCUCAGUGCGCUGCAGUUGGAUCAACCGAGUGCGGAACACUAUUACCGUUCUUUGGAUUAUUUACUCCAAACAACAAA